UACGGAGGGAGCUAGCGUUGUUCGGAAUUACUGGGCGUAAAGGGCGCGUAGGCGGCCUGUUAAGUCGGACGUGAAAUCCCCGGGCUCAACCCGGGAACUGCGUCCGAUACUGGCAGGCUUGAAUCCGGGAGAGGGAUGUGGAAUUCCAGGUGUAGCGGUGAAAUGCGUAGAUAUCUGGAGGAACACCGGUGGCGAAGGCGACAUCCUGGACCGGUAUUGACGCUGAGGCGCGAAAGCCAGGGGAGCAAACGGG
rnacentral:rRNA from 1 species